rnacentral:rRNA from 1 species
UAGCGUUGCUCGGAAUUACUGGGCGUAAAGCGCACGCAGGCGGUCUGUCAAGUCGGAUGUGAAAUCCCCGGGCUCAACCUGGGAACUGCAUUCGAAACUGGCAGGCUAGAGUCUUGUAGAGGGGGGUAGAAUUCCAGGUGUAGCGGUGAAAUGCGUAGAGAUCUGGAGGAAUACCGGUGGCGAAGGCGGCCCCCUGGACGAAGACUGACGCUCAGGUGCGAAAGCGUGGGGAGC